UGAGGAAUAUUGGUCAAUGGACGAGAGUCUGAACCAGCCAAGUAGCGUGAAGGAUGACUGCCCUAUGGGUUGUAAACUUCUUUUAUAUGGGAAUAAAGUGAGCCACGUGUGGCUUUUUGUAUGUACCAUACGAAUAAGGAUCGGCUAACUCCGUGCCAGCAGCCGCGGUAAUACGGAGGAUCCGAGCGUUAUCCGGAUUUAUUGGGUUUAAAGGGAGCGUGGGCGGAUUAUUAAGUCAGUUGUGAAAGUUUGCGGCUCAACCGUAAAAUUGCAGUUGAUACUGGUAGUCUUGAGUGCAGUUGAGGCAGGCGGAAUUCGUGUGUAGCGGUGAAAUGCUUAGAUAUCACGAAGAACUCCGAUCGCGAAGGCAGCUCACUAGACUGCAACUGACACUGAUGCUCGAAAGUGUGGGUAUCAAACAGG
rnacentral:rRNA from 1 species